rnacentral:rRNA from 1 species
AUUGAACGCUGGCGGCAGGCCUAACACAUGCAAGUCGAGCGGAUGAAGGGAGCUUGCUCCUGGAUUCAGCGGCGGACGGGUGAGUAAUGCCUAGGAAUCUGCCUGGUAGUGGGGGAUAACGUCCGGAAACGGGCGCUGAUACCGCAUACGUCCUGAGGGAGAAAGUGGGGGAUCUUCGGACCUCACGCUAUCAGAUGAGCCUAGGUCGGAUUAGCUAGUUGGUGGGUUAAAGGCCUACCAAGGCGACGAUCCGUAACUGGUCUGAGAGGAUGAUCAGUCACACUGGAACUGACACGGUCCAGACUCCUACGGGAGGCAGCAGUGGGGAAUAUUGGACAAUGGGCGAAAGCCUGAUCCAGCCAUGCCGCGUGUGUGAAGAAGGUCUUCGGAUUGUAAAGCACUUUAAGUUGGGAGGAAGGGCAGUAAGUUAAUACCUUGCUGUUUUGACGUUACCAACAGAAUAAGCACCGGCUAACUUCGUG